UACGUAGGGUGCAAGCGUUAAUCGGAAUUACUGGGCGUAAAGCGUGCGCAGGCGGUUCGGAAAGAAAGAUGUGAAAUCCCAGGGCUUAACCUUGGAACUGCAUUUUUAACUGCCGGGCUAGAGUAUGUCAGAGGGGGGUAGAAUUCCACGUGUAGCAGUGAAAUGCGUAGAGAUGUGGAGGAAUACCGAUGGCGAAGGCAGCCCCCUGGGAUAAUACUGACGCUCAGGCACGAAAGCGUGGGGAGCAAACAGG
rnacentral:rRNA from 1 species